rnacentral:lncRNA from 1 species
GGCUUCGAUCUGGGGAUGCUUUGUCAGGGCCCAAGAUUGUUGAUUCCACUUUAAAGCCAGCAACAACUAGUGGUAUGUUACAUCUAUUUGCUGCACCAUAUAUGGUUAUGCACUUUUAGGAAUUUUGGUUUCUUAAGUUUGCUUUCUAGAAUUUGGCUAUAUAAAUUAUUGUUUGGGUCAGUUUUCUUAUUUUGAUCAAGAAGAUGCUGGUCAUUUUGUUUGUAGGUCAAGAUGGUGAGAAAUUAAGUUUGAUUAAGCUUGCUAGUAUGAUUGAAGUGUCAUCUAAAAAAGGAAGUCAAGAGCUUAUCCUUAAGAAUAAGUUGUCGGACCAGGUGGAAUGGCUUCCAGAUUCUAUAGGGAAGCUAUCAAGUUUGAUUACUUUGGAUUUGUCUGAGAAUCGAAUUACUGUCCUGCCUACCACUAUAGGGGGGCUUUCGUCAUUGCAAAAGCUAGAUUUGCAUUCGAACAAAAUCGUUGAACUACCUGAUUCCAUUGGAGAUCUGCUUAACUUGGUCUAUCUCGAUCUUAGUGCAAAUAACUUGAAGUUGUUGCCCACGAGUUUUGCGAGGUUAGUUCACCUUCAAGAACUUGAUCUGAGCUCCAACAUGCUAUCAGUACUUCCUGAGACAGUUGGCUCCUUGGUAAGUCUAAAGAAAUUGAUUGUGGAAACUAAUGACCUUGAGGAACUUCCUCACACUAUUGGUCAAUGUACUUCGCUCAAGGAGCUUCGUGCAGACUAUAACCGGCUUAAAGCUCUUCCUGAAGCAGUGGGACGAAUUGAGUCUUUGGAGAUUCUGUCUGCAAGGUACAAUAACAUCAGGCAAUUGCCUACGACUAUGUCAUCCCUUACAAGUUUGAAAGAGCUGAAUGUUAGUUUCAAUGAAAUUGAAGCCGUCCCUGAGAGCUUGUGUUUUGCUACUACGCUGGUCAAGCUGAACAUUAGCAACAAUUUUGCAGACCUGCGGUCACUACCAAGGUCCAUUGGCAACCUUGAGUUGCUAGAAGAAUUGGACAUGAGUAACAACCAGAUUAGAAUUCUUCCAGACUCAUUUAGGAUGCUCUCGAGUUUGCGGGUCCUUAAAACCGAAGGAAAUCCUUUGGAAGUGCCGCCAGGAAACAUCGCUGAGAAGGGAGCACAGGUUUGUUUCCAUUUUACUAUGAUGGUGCUUUCUGAUUUUUUUAUCCUAGCUAUUCUUGUUGUUUUUAGAUGAUUUGAUUACUUAAUUAUGCUUUGUUGCUAUGUUCUGCAGGCUGUUGUUCAGUAUAUGGCUGAUCUGGUAGCCAAUAGGGAUGUGAAGGCGCAGCCGGUGAAGAAGAAGAAAUCCUGGGCUCAGAUAUGCUGCUUUUCAAGAUCCAAGAAACGUCAGCGCAAUGGUGGGGACUAUGUCAAUGCCUGAUGUGCUGCAGCUUGGAUACAAAUGUUUGAACACACUAUACACAUGGUAUGCUUUUUCUCCUUCUUACCAUGUUUGUUUUAGGUUUCUUAAUUAGAUUUCAACGUUCUUGGAACUGACCAAGCAGGAGAUGAUUCUUAGCUCGUGUGUAGGCACUGAUUACUGAUAUAUUUCUUUAAGUUAAUUAUUCUCCUCUGCUAUUCUUAUCUGUUCAUUUUCUCAGUUAAUAAAUUGAAAGGUUGCCCUAUACAUGCUGGUUUGUGUUAAUAAAUUGAAAUGGUGCACAGUACAUGCUGGUGUUUGCGUUAAUUACAAUAAUGAAAUGUAGGGUUCUAAAGGGUACGCCUCACAUGCUUUGUUAUCUGUUUUAGGAAAAUGAGCUGUGAUUGAGCUGGAAGAGUCAGUUGCCAUUUGGGUUGAAUUCAACCAUUUUUUGCCAGCAAAUCAAGCCAUUUUGUUGUUCCAGAUCUGGCACUAAUCUUGCCACGUGUUCCGUUCGUUCUUUUUUCUCAUUUUGCUUCAUUCCAUGUAAUUCUUUACUCCUCGGUGUUGUUAUUCAGCUGUAACUUUUAUUCUUUGAUAAUGUAAAAUGAGAUGUAAAAUUUUAUUACACGGAAAACCAGGUGGAAAUUUCUCGUGUUUGACUUCCCAAAAAAGUAAAUUAAUAUUGAGUUUACUGAGUUUAAUAAUUUCUGAUUUGAUGGAGUAUAUUUUUAUUUUUUGCCUCCUUUCUGGUAUUGGGAAGUCAGCCUAACAUAUUUCUAUUAUCCACUUGGGUUCUAGAACGAUACAUUUGUUUGGCAUCUCAUUAUUUUUGUAGAGGAAUGUUGCUAAGGUCAAAUGAGGGAUGCUUAGAAACAGAGUCUUGUUAAUAAAAUUUUAAGGGCGGCCAUGACAUUGUGUACCAAAUACAUUUGACCUGUUUGGCUAGAUUUCUAUACUAUAUCCAAAUGGAUUUAUGACCAUUCUCGUACAUGUAAAUUAAACUUAUAUACUCAUAUAAAUAUGCCGAAAUACCCAACUGCAGCAGCCAUUUCUUUACUGGUGCAUCAUUAUUCUCACUGAAUCAUCAUUACUAUAUUAUAUCAUUAUUUCUCGAGACAAAUGCCCUAUAAAAAGGUAGUUGACCUUACUUUUAUUAAGCGGAAAAGACUCUUUAUUUGAAUCAAAUUAUGUGAGUACGUUACGCUACAAGACGCCGGUAACUUUUAUGAUCAAAUUCAAAUGAUAAUGGGUGAAAUUCCCAUUAUUUUAAUUCUUAGGUUAGGGAGAUGGCAUAAUUGUUGGUCAUAGUCCUCAGGAUCAAAUAGGUCUACUUCUGUUAAAGCUGGAAAUAGAUGUGACAAUGAUGGGUGACUAGUUUGUUAUGUAAAUAUCAUAAUAUUGGUAGUAAUCAUUUAAAGUAGUCCAAUAAUUACUAUUACAUGGUAAUAUUUCCCAGAUUAGUAGGUCCGUGAGAGUGAGCAAACCAUAUGGACCACCUUGUCCAUCUAAAAGAUGAGUGAUGCGCCUCUUCCAAGUAUGUGCUUUGAGUUUGCUUUAUUCUGUCAACUGGCUGUCUUUGCUUCUGCAAUUUUUUGUCAAUAAUUAACUGCAUAUCAAUAAGUCGAUUAUUGAUUUAUCACUGAUCGUGCACCAGUUGAAAAUUUGGCCGCAGCUCAGACGUGUACAGAUAAUCUAAUUACUCAUUGAAAACAUAAUUGUGGAACAUUGAACGUAACGCUAUGCAAGCGAUUCUGCAAAUAAUUAAAUAAGAUUAGAAUGUCCCUACUAAUUGCAUAUUGCUUAAAUUAGUUAAAAAAAGAAACUAAGUUGUAAAGUUAUUUAGGGAAAUAAAAAUUUGACUUUUUAUUGAGGCAUUUCAAUUAAAUGAAAAAUAUAAAAGUUUCACCACCUUUUUAUUUUAAAGAAUGGGCAACCUUCUUACAAAAAGGACAAUUUAAAAAGGAAUGGGCCAGCUGUUUGGGUAUUUGAACUGCUGGCUCGUUUUGGGCCACUUUGGCCAUUGGCCAGCCCUUGACUUAAAAAAGAAUGGGUCAGUUAUGUUAUUAACUAAAACAAAUGGAUCAACUGCUGGAUUUUAUUGGUGUUGGGCUGCUAGAGUUUAUUUAGCGUGAAAAAUAAUUUCUUGAACCAAAACCUAAAACCCGUACUGCUAAAAAUCCAAAAUCUUAUCUUUCUAAACUUAAACAUUUGUUUUUACUAGACAAAUUAAGACAAAAAAAAGAAUACUUUUUUAGUUUACCAUAUAAAUAUUCAGAAAACACAUGUAAAAACUUAAUUUGAUAACUUGCUAUCCAACAGGAAUUCCUUAAAAUAUAUAUAGAAGAGCAUUCUUUCUAAACACGUUUAAUUUUACUACCAAAUUCACUUUAACAUGAAUAUAACUCAACAAUGAUACAUAACUUUUCAAGUUAAAACAUGUUUUUAAAUUUUUUUUAAAAGAUAUUAAAACUGCGAAGGAACUUCUAGACAUCCAUUCUUAUAUUUGAACUAAAGAACGAAUUAAUAAACCAAAAAAAUGCGUUAUUUACUUAAACACUUUAACAUGUAUUGGUACUUAUUUGCACAAACGCUACCAGCACAAAUGAAAAUGUAGGGGAACAAAGUUCAUGUCAAACAUAAAGAAAAAGUCACUAAAAGAAAACUAGAGCAAACUAGGAAAAAUUCAUAAUUACAAAAAAAGAAACUUGGACCAAAGAAUUUCAACACAACUGCUCUUAAGCUUAAAAUCUACUAUACACACAUCUUCGAUUUAAAAACUCAACAUUUAUCUAAGCAUCGACUAUCAGAGGAUUUCAAACGUGGAUUACAUUUACUUGCUCCUGAACUAAAUUAUGCCAUAAAUCUGUUACUAUACUUUCAAUCGUGCACAAACUUUUAUGUUUAGGAGAGCUACAGCUUAAAAGAGAAACAAAGCAAUUAAGAACAAAAUUAUAGAGUUGGAAAAGAUCAAACUAUAGAGCUGAAGCUUUAUUCAUCCAUUUAUGAGCAAAAGAUUAAACUCAAAUGUAAAGAAGAUAGUUACAACACAUACAACGUCACCAUAACUUUAUGCAAUUAAGAACUAAACUAUAGAGCUGGAAAAAUACCUAUUUUGCAAAAAUAGAAGAAAAAAAUAGCAGAGAAGGGAACCAACAAGCCAAACUCCAGCCAAAUGAAAUAGCAACAGCAGCACGACCAGCAACAAAAUCAACGCCAAAAGUGAACUCAGUUAAUCUAGAGAAUCAGCCAUGUGUUUUAGACUAAAAACAAACAACGGAAACCAAGACUCUUAAAGUUUUUCUUGCCUAAAACCUAUUGUAAGUGCUGGAAAACUUAGUAAAAUGCUCUCUGAUUCCCCCCCCUCCCCCCCGUUUGUGUGUAAAUAUGUUCAGCCUUUUUAUAAGAGAAGAGGCAAUGCAUUCAUGACUAAAAAUCUGUUCAUACAAUAUAUUUCUCACCAAAAAUUUGCUCUUACUAUUCAAAGGACAGACUUUUGGUUAAAAAAUCUACCUAAAGAUAAUCUCUUUACCAACUGUGAAUAGUAUUAGGAGCUGUAUACUCCCAACAACCUUUAAACGGUAAAAAGCAGCAAAACAAGUACCCCACUCUCAUGAUCAAACAUAUCUACUCUUCAACUUUUUAAUAAUCAAUACCAGACCUAGUUUGUAUCAAACCAAAACUAAAGCCAAGAAACUAUAAGCAAGACACAUGUUAACAGAGAAAACAACUUGGUGAAAAAGUUUGACUAUGUGAAUACGCCUUCCACAAGCAAAGGAGGAUGAACUACAUGUCCAACAUGUUUGAUCAGCUGGAAGAUGCCAAAGGAUGGGUAGAACUUUUUGAAAAACUGAAAACUAGGUAGAAAACAAACCUAAUUCGGCCACUAACAAAACUUACACUACUACAAUAACUACAAUAAAGUAGUAGGCAACAGAAAUCAGAAACCUAAGGAAAGGAUUAAGGUUCUAGUUAGAGUCCAAAAUCUUUGAAACUUCAGCUAAUUAGCACAACGAAUUAAACGUGAAAUAACAGAAACUGCAAUUGAAGCUAAAAUUUUCAAACUUGAAUCUACAACUAACUUCAAACACCAUUAGAAGAACUUAUGAGAUAGGAAUCCGAACAACAAAAUAAUUUGAGAUCAACGAGUGAUGACUAAUCAUUACUGCCUUUAAACUAACUAACGACUUACUAAAGAUAAAUAAAACACAUGAUCAAACAAAGAAGAAAAACCAAAAAUUUUAGACCUAAGCAAACUAUAAUGAAACAGAAAGUAAAAGAAAAAGAAAGGAGACACAAGGGAUUAGGGUGUACCAGAAAAUUGAGUGGUGCGGUAGUGGUGGUGAUUCGAGUAGUGGUGGGAUGCCAACUUGACAACAAUGUAAAGUUCGAGCGUGAUUUCCUAAUUGGUGAAUUGUGACUGUGAAUUUUAGUAUGCCAGAGGUCAUUCACGAUAUCAACAAUGAGAAACUUGUGCUUCAACUCACGAGAUAGGUCGAGGCAGAGGUGUUGUGGUAAUUUUAGGUGGGUCGUGGCAGUGGAGUAGUGGUCGCCAGAAUCCGGCCAGACUUCUGUCGGAGUUUUUGGGUGAAACCAACAUAGGAUGAUAGAUCAUGUGGAGCUCUACGUGCAUGUGUAAGUAUUUUAUAAAGGAGAGGCCGAAAACUCGACGAAUUUACAAAAUAAAUUGGACUAAGGUUUCAGAUUUUCGUUUAUUCAUGGAUUUUGGGAGGGAUUCAAGGGAUUUGGUUCGUGGAUUAACGAAGAUAAAGAGGAUAGGAAGAGAUUGGCAUUGGUUGGAGGGUGUUUGGAGCACCACUGGCGGUGACGCUCCACGGUGGCGGUAGAGGAGGGCAAUGACGGCUUGAGAAAAAAGAGGGGUCUCUAGGGUUUGGUUUCUUAGAGAACAGGCAAAAAACAGAUUUUAAAAGGAUUUUAUACCUCAAAGGGGAACAAAGGAGGGCCAUU